GACGAACGCUGGCGGCGUGCCUAAUACAUGCAAGUAGAACGCACAGUUUAUACCGUAGCUUGCUACACCAUACACUGUGAGUUGCGAACGGGUGAGUAACGCGUAGGUAACCUGCCUGGUAGCGGGUGAUAACUAUUGGAAACGAUAGCUAAUACCGCAUAAUAUUGAUUAUUGCAUGAUAAUUGAUUGAAAGAUGCUAUUGCAUCACUACCAGAUGGACCUGCGUUGUAUUAGCUAGUAGGUGAGGUAACGGCUCACCUAGGCGACGAUACAUAGCCGACCUGAGAGGGUGAUCGGCCACACUGGGACUGAGACACGGCCCAGACUCCUACGGGAGGCAGCAGUAGGGAAUCUUCGGCAAUGGACGAAAGUCUGACCGAGCAACGCCGCGUGAGUGAAGAAGGUUUUCGGAUCGUAAAGCUCUGUUGUAAGAGAAGAACGGGUGUGAGAGUGGAAAGUUCACACUGUGACGGUAUCUUACCAGAAAGGGACGGCUAACUACGUG
rnacentral:rRNA from 1 species